CCGAAUUGCAUUGCACACAAUUUGGUCCUCUCGAGUACGUAUCUGUUGUAAAAAUUGGCAAUCACAGUCACCGGCAUUUUAGUCCAGUAACCAUGUCAGAGUGUAGGAAUUCAAUUACUAGCAGGGAAAAAAAAAAACCCAAAGAACUUGAGAAAACGAUAUUUUGUGUGAAACAAGAAACUGCAAAUAACACAGUAAAAUCUGAAAAGGGGAAAAAAAAAAAAAA